rnacentral:rRNA from 1 species
GACGAACGCUGGCGGCGUGCUUAACACAUGCAAGUCGAACGGGCCUUGUCCCCUUUUUUUUUGGGGGUGGGGUUAGUGGCGAACGGGUGAGUAACACGUGAGUAACCUGCCCCUCACUUCUGGAUAACCGCUUGAAAGGGUGGCUAAUACGGGGUGUUCUGGCCUGCUCGCAUGGGUGGGUUUGGAAAGAUUCGACCGGUUUUGGUUGUUUUGGGGGGGGAUGGGCUCGCGGCCUAUCAGCUUGUUGGUGGGGUGAUGGCCUGCCAAGGCUUUGACGGGUAGCCGGCCUGAGAGGGUGGGCGGUCACACUGGGACUGAGACACGGCCCAGACUCCUACGGGAGGCAGCAGUGGGGAAUAUUGCACAAUGGGCGCAAGCCUGAUGCAGCGACGCCGCGUGAGGGAUGGAGGCCUUCGGGUUGUGAACCUCUUUCGCCAGUGAAGAAGGUCCUGCUCUUUGUGGUGGGGUUGACGGUAGCUGGGUUAAUGAAGCGCCGGCUAACUACGUG